UACGUAGGGUGCAAGCGUUAUCCGGAAUCACUGGGCGUAAAGAGCUCGUAGGCGGUUGGAUAAGUCGCAUGUUAAAGACCCAAGCCUAACUUGGGGGCUGCGUGCGAUACUGUCCGGCUAGAGAACGGGAGAGGAAUGUGGAAUUCCUGGUGUAGCGGUGAAAUGCAUAGAUAUCAGGAAGAACACCUGUGGCGAAGGCGGCAUUCUAGACCGUUUCUGACGCUGAGGAGCGAAAGCCAGGGGAGCGAACGGG
rnacentral:rRNA from 1 species